rnacentral:rRNA from 1 species
GGGUGCGAUCAUACCAGCGUUAAUGCACCGGAUCCCAUCAAAACUCCGCAGUUAAGCGCGCUUGGGCUAGAGUAGUACUGGGAUGGGUGACC